GCAGGGCUCAGUGGAAUGUGUCUGCAGUGCAUGUACUGUGCAGAGAAGAUGGGAGGAGGAUGAAUUCGAGGCCAGCCGAGGAUGCACAGUGAGACAGGACCUCACAAUCCAACCAACAAAGUUUGUUUGUUUUAGCAACCAUUAUUUCUGCAAACUGUGGAAUGGACCAGCAAUGGAUACCCUCUUGCUAGACUUGCUUCAGAUGUAGAAAAUCUUAAUUGAUGUGAUGAGAAAGGGAACAAAGAGUAGGAGAGAAAGUGUUUUGACAGUUUCCUCUCUCUGUUGACAAGUACAAGAUUGACCAUAAAAGGAGAAGGGAAACAUCCAAUCAGCUCUGUUUGUUGACUGCUCUGGUACAUUUUGUGCAGAAACAAACUAAAAUACAGACCCAACAGGAGUUUGAAGAUUAUCUGUGAGUAGCAUCUACCCAUCCCGUCUCUUAGCCUCAUUCAUACAGAUAAUCAAGAGUUGGCAGGACUUCAGAGAUCUCUCUCUUAAGGGAGAUCAAACACUUCUCAAAACCCAGCUGCCUCAGAAAUGGCACUUCCUUUUUCAUUCCCAUGGAAAAGCCGUGACUUAGAAGGGGUGGGGGAGAAUGAAAAUGAAUGAAUGUAUCCCUCCGGUGUAAUCUACCUUUGAUGGGACAGGGAGGCCCAAGUUGAUGAUUCUUUUUUCUGGACACAGACAUGUGCAUGUACAGGCACAUAUACAUGCCUGUGCCUGUACAUGUGUGUAAGAGUCACAACGCAUCAAGGCAGUGGACCAAGGGAGGCACGAGGGGGCCACAGCUUUCCUUUCCCUACUGUCUACCCUUUUGGGUUCUGGGGCUGCUCUUCCAACUCUGACCACCCACUGGUGUGAAACUAAUGAUUAACCCUUCGGCACCAGCGCUUUGGAGUGUUCACCAGUAAUUGGCAAUGUAAAACCCGUUAGGGGGUGGUGUGGGGGUUACUCUGGGUCCAUAUGUCAGGAGGUUAAUGAAAAAUUAAGUAUUGCAUUUUGCUGAGGGUAGAUUAAGAUGUUUACGGGUUAUGCCCUUUUUUCUUUUCUGCCAGCACCUGAGACUGAGCUCCAAGCUUUUGGUCUACUUAAACUAGGUUGCUUUCUCAAGGCUGGUUUGGGUUGUAUCUGUGAGCUGGGGAAAUGCUUGCUACCAAAUCCACACAGCCCUGGUAUCCCUCACAGUUCAGAAAUGGAGACAGCUCCCGGAGACCACAAAAAGGAAGUACAUUUAAUUGCCUAGCAAUAGUAGGCGUUUUGCCUUAAAUGUAUUUAUUAAUUGAAAAAUAAUGUACUGGCAUGGUGUUUUGGGGUCCUGUUUAGACUCUUGGAGAUAGCUAAGUGGGGAGUUUAUUGGAGACCUUUCUUGGGACUCGAGGACCCAUUUGUGCGAGUAUACUGUUUAUUAAUGGGUCUUUGUUCUUGCAGUAACCCUCAGACAGGGAUUUUGAGAGACAUACUCAUUUUCUUCUAAGGCCUAUCAGCAUAGUAAUCACUCUUGGCUGAAAACCAGCUGCCAUUUGCAUGUUUAAUAAAAACUAUAACAGUAACACCAUAUUCAAAACUGUUUUUCCUUUUAGCCUAAGACUUGGAAUUGACCUAGUUCCGUACAUCUACCAUAAACACUCUUUGCCUCAGGUGGAAGUCUUUAAAAUAAGGAGAUGACGCUAAGACAAUCUGAUUACUCUUCCCUUCCCCUAUCAGUCACAAACCAUCUCUCUUAAUUAUGGUGUGAGGACAUUUGCAUAGCUGGGGAGAGGGUCCUUUAACUACGUUUCUAUUAUGCGUGGCCCUUCAGAGAAAGGAUAUUAUAUUCAUGUGCAUUAGUGAUUGCUUAUAAAAGAUCAAGACAAUAAUAGCCGACUCGGUGAUAAAGGUCUCUUUUUCUCUUCACAGACAGGCUGUCUCUGACAGAAGAAUACAGUUCAUCAAAAGUGUCUGCAGGUUGUCAAACUCGGGGAGGUUUGGGGACCCUGUGCGGCUGUCAUGGUCAACAAGGAGAUUUUUCUGUCCGUCUCUCCAUCACUCAUCCCGAGGAAAUAAUCACUCGUUGCAUUCUGCAUGUUCUCAUGAUACAGCUCUCCAUUUGAGAGAAAGGAGCUAUUUCAUCAGAGGACAAUAUAGCCCUUCUCUGGGUCCACGUACCUUCCAUUAUCACACCAUAAUAAAUCAUAUUUAUGCUCCCAGUUAAUAAGACUGAUUACAACGCAAGUUCCAGACAUGGGCAAAGCAAGGCAGGUGAAAAGAUGUUUUAAUGAAAAUAUGAUAAGAAAGCAGCUCCUCACGAACAUUUUGUGCUGUUAUUUGUCAUGAUUACAGACCAUUUUUCGAUGCAUCUUCUUUAGCAAUGGUUUAAGCUGCAUGAAUUGGCUCAGUGGAAGAUAAGUAAAAAUGGUAAGAAAAAAAAUCGUGAGAUUUUCUUGUGUUGUCUAGAAUCAUUAUGCCCAUAACAAGUACAAAAUAGGCUUAAUGUAUAUGCCGGGGUAGGUUUAAUGUAUACGCUGGGGAUGGAAGAGAAACAGAAUUCUCAGGAAACCAUUGCUGGGGUAUUAUUAUUCGAAAUGGUUUCGACAUUUUUCUCCUCAUCUUGCUUUUCAAAGGUGGACACUCCCUGGAUUUUGGGGCACCCUAGUUGUUAAUUUUAGCUUUGUAAAUGAACCUAUAGCCCUCUCUCUUUUAUUUGUGCUCCCCCUCACCCAGUUCUUUUUCUUCCUUUCUUGCCCCCCUCCCCUUGGAGCUGGGUACAAAAAGACAAAGAGAUAGAUGGGUUC
rnacentral:sRNA from 1 species